CCCAACCAACUGAACCACCAGUCAGGGGUUGGACGUGUCUUUGAUUAAGGCUGUUUGGAGGAAUGAGACUGAGGACAGGAAAACCAGCUAAGAUCACAGAUGUUCAUUCCCCUGAAGGUUGACCCAGAAAUGAUGAACUUUGGUUUCUUGGCCUUUUCAUGGUAAUUGAUGAUUUUCCAGUGUGUCCGGCCCUACUCAACUCUCUCAAUACCAAAGGUCACUGAGCAUUUUUUUUUCAUCUGUUCACCCAGCAGAGAGGCUCCGGAAAGUUUCUGGGGCGGGACAGGUACAACACAAGCUCGGCUUUUACCCUUUCUCUCAAAAGAGUUGGCUUUACUUAAUCAGGCCUACAGUUGAACAACUUGGACCACCUGCAGCACCUCUCAGAAAACAGCUGAGUGCUAAAGUUGUAAGAGGCAAAACAUGAAGAGGAAAAUGAACUUCUGGAUGAGUGGAAAUAGGUGACCGAGUUCUGCGGUUAGCACAGACCAUGGUUCACUGUGAAGGAGAUGGGAGAGCCUCAGAUCUUCACGUGCACACACCCCGAAGUCAUCAGAUCCCCUCGGCUCCGAGUUACGGUCAACUGGAUGUAUUUGCUGCUUCCUUCCUACAAUUUCCCACGUGUAUUACUGCUGACUGCAAACACGUAUCCAAAAAAAGACAGGCAGGAGGAGGAAAGCGGAGGGGAGCCACAGAACAAGAAGCAGGAAGGAGAGCGAGCUGUGGGGGUGGGGGUGAGGAAAACGGAGCUGGAGACCACAUUUUUUUUAAAUGCUGCAGAAGCCUUUCUCUUCGGUGAGACACUGAGGUGAAGUGCACUUCGGAUGCCGUCUGUCCUGAUGGAGUCACCAGCAGAAGGCACUUCUUUUCUCAAGAAAACACACGUGGGGAGGAUGAAGAGGGUGAAAGGGCUUAAUACUCGGUGAGGAAGGAGACUAGACUUUGGGUGGUGAGCGCACACGGCAGUAUAGAGAUGACGUGUUAUAGGGCCGUCCACUCGAAACUCACAUACUGUAUUGAGCAAUGUCACCCCAAUAGGUUUAAUUUAAUAAUAAAAGAAUGAAUAGACUCUUGAGAGAAUGACUGCCUUCUUUAGAG